UCAAUGACCAAAGCACAAUAUGACAUCUGAAAGGGACCGUCUUCCCUCAUAAUACUUCAUGGAAUGUGUGGGACAAUCUAGAAGUCCAGACUGUGGAACAAAAUGGAUCUGUGGACCAUUUUCCUGCAGUGGCCUUGAGAAGGGUCCUUCAUUCCUAGUGCUUACCAAAUAUUUGCAUGUGAAAAUAACCGAAAGAAAAGCACCAUACAGACCUGGAUGUUUCUAUCAAAACUAGAGAAAAAAAUUAAAAUAAGCCCUCCUGCCCCACUUAAAAAAAAAUCAACAAUAAGGAUUCUUCUUUUUAUUUCUGGUAAAUAAGGAAUGAGUAUGACUCAGCUCCCUUACCCCUAAAUAUACAAUGUGAAAAAUACUCUCUGCAGUGUGAGGUUCCUAAUGGGCUGCAUGUGUCUUCUGGCUGCCUCUACCAACGUGACUGUUGAAAACACUGGGUUAUGUCCUUUUCCAGACUCAUCCAAAAGGAAUAAAACAGAACAUUAAAGGUCCA
rnacentral:lncRNA from 1 species